AUUGAACGCUGGCGGCAGGCCUAACACAUGCAAGUCGAACGGUAACAGAAAGCAGCUUGCUGCUUUGCUGACGAGUGGCGGACGGGUGAGUAAUGUCUGGGAAACUGCCUGAUGGAGGGGGAUAACUACUGGAAACGGUAGCUAAUACCGCAUAACGUCGCAAGACCAAAGAGGGGGACCUUCGGGCCUCUUGCCAUCGGAUGUGCCCAGAUGGGUUUAGCUAGUAGGUGGGGUAAAGUAUCACCUAGGCGACUAUCCCUAGCUGGUCUGAGAGGAUGACCAGACACACUGGAACUGAGACACGGUCGAGACUCCUACGGGAGGAAGCAGUGGGGAAUAUUGCACAAUGGGGGAAAGCCUGAUGCAGCCAUGCCGCGUGUAUGAAGAAGGACUUCGGGUUGUAAAGUACUUUAAGCGGGGAGGAAGGGAGUAAAGUUAAUACCUUUGCUCAUUGACGUUACCCGCAGAAGAAGCACCGGCUAACUCCGUG
rnacentral:rRNA from 1 species